rnacentral:rRNA from 1 species
AGCGAGCGCUGGCGGCAGGCCUAACACAUGCAAGUCGAACGGCAGCACAGUAAGAGCUUGCUCUUACGGGUGGCGAGUGGCGGACGGGGGAGGAAGAUAUCGGAAUCUACUCUUUCGGGGGGGAUAACGUAGGGAAACGUACUCGAAUAAAGCAUAUGACCUACGGGUGAAAGCAGGGGAUCUUCUGACCUUGUGCGAGUGAAUGAGCCGAUGUCGGAUUAGUUAGUUGGCGGGUUAAAGGCCCAGCCAGGCGACGAUCGGUAGCUGGUCGGAGAGCAUGAUCGCCCACACGGGAAGUGAGACACGGCCCAGACGCCUGCGAGAGGAAGCAGCCGGGAAUCGUGGGCAAUGGGGGGGAGCCUAAUACAGCCCUACGGCGUGGGUGCAGAAGCCGUUCGGCUUGUAAAGCCCUUUUGUUGGUAGAGAAAAGCAGCAGGUUAAUACGCCGCGGUACUGACGGUACCGGGAGAAUAAGCACCGGCUAACUUCGUG